AAGAGAGUUCUCAAAGAUGUGCUAAAGCUAAGCCAUCACUACCAGACCUCAUCCCUGGAGUCCUUCCACAACUUAAUUCUGCGUUUUACCCCAAAAAAAUGUGGUUUUCCCCUUCAUUGGAAUGUUGUGCAGGUUGUGUCUAGCAGCAAUGCAUCACAACGAGAAUGCUGGGCGUGACCAAGCGACAACUGCUGCAGGAAAACUUGUCUUCAAAUUGGCUUAUCCAAAAUCAAAGAGGGGAGAGUGUACGGUCAAGCCUGUUAAGAACGACCCUACAUACAUCUAUGUGGAUGAGCUGACGAGGCUUGUGUUUCACAAAGUAUUUCUGGACCCUACACCCUUUGUGGACGAGCUGAAACGAAUCCACGUCCCAGAGGACCUGUCAACUUA